rnacentral:misc_RNA from 1 species
GGGUGACUGAUUUAGACUUAACUGGCGUUUAGCCAAAAUCUUGUCAACCCGAAAAGUUGACAUGAAAUUCCGACGUGAAGCGCUGCCGCUGCCAACCUUCCAAAGCAGACGAAAUAAUUUAAGAAAGAAUCACAAGUGUUUUCUUUUUGUUUCUUUCGUCGUUUCAUCAGCUUAUUAUUAAUAUUCAGAGGGCUUGAAGCCGUCCAUCAAUUGAAACCCUCAUUUUCAACCCUUGGAAAGGACUCAACAUGGUUCGUGGACUUUUGACGUUCGGUGUUGGAAUCUACGCCGGAAUCUACCUCAGUCAAAACUACCAGAUUCCGAGAGUGGACGAGCCAAAAGUCAUGUGGGAGAAGAUCCAGUCGAUCAUGGAGCAGUACAGGAAACCUCCGCCAUCAGGCGACAAAUGAAAACUAUAUAUUUCUCUCUCGCUGUAUAGUUGUCAAACCCCCGACCGUUUACAUCUUUUUUUUCCGAUUUGAAGCCAACUUCCAAAAUUGACAUGAAACUGUCAGUGCCAGUCUUGUUUUUAGGGAAUCUAAAAUAAUAAUACAGAAAAUGCCAAUUGGAAAAAAAAAAGUUGCAUUUGAAAAUCCCGCCUCUUGGCUGAUGACGUAAACAAGACACAGUAACAAGACAGUCUUUCCGGGAGUCUAUUAAAUCUUUACCGAGAGUUUUUAAACUACUUUGAAGUGCAAGGUCAAUCUCUUUUGGGCGCGAUUAGAUAUUCAUGUCGUAUGUUCGAUUCAGUAGAUUGGAAACAGCUAAUGGGAAAACGGUGGGUGGUCUCUGACGCAAUCCCUUCCUACGUGUAUUCUGUCGUCUUCCGGUGUUCGACAAGAUUGGAUAUCGACUCCGUGUCCCGUUAUUGGUUUACCGUCGUUGCAUGUGGGAGGAUGUUUUGAAUGAGAGUCCAGCGAAUAUGUUUUGGCCAAGAGUCCUGUCAAGGGGUACACGUAAGGAAUGUAAUCAUUCACGAAAUAUUCAAAUGCGUCGUCUCUGUGUGAUCCUUCGGGCAACCUUUGUGGCAUUGUGGGCGAUUCUCGUCCACCGUGAAACAUCGUCCAAUUGCCGAUCUUGACAUCUGAGGGAGAUUGAUCUUUUUAAAAUUGAUUGGAUGACAUAAGGUCAACCAUUUUUUGAUAAAAGUUGAAUCGCUAGCUGAUGAUUGAAGACUUGUGUAAUCGUUCGCGAUUUAGUUUUGUAGUUAUGAAUGAAAAGCGGUUUAGUUGAAAUCUUCAAAGAACAUUCUUGGCUUUUUAAUUGAAAAACGGACAUCUGUGCCAAUUCCUUCAACCGUCUGACAUCUUCAAAGUGAGGCUUCUACAGU